CGUCUCUUGUUGGACACGUGUUGAUAGGAGAAGAAAAGGCGUUGAGAGGAAAAGAAAUCUGGGUUUGUGUUUCUCGUGCUUGGGUCUCUCCGCCGCAGCCUGCUCCUCAUCCACGAACGUAUGUGGACAAGAGAGAGAUCCAAGACUAAGAUUGGAUUCACGGCUCAUGUUGAUGCCAAGAUCCGCCAGCUGAGAGGGAGGCUCCAGAGGAAACACUCGAUUCCGAGCGUUAUGAGCGGUAUGAGUGGUACGAGCAUCAAGUGAGACGACAACGUCCACCACACACCAUUCAUAGUUGAUCCAAUUCGAUGUUACAGGCUACGUGACUGGCUUUGGUCAGGACCCAUGAAGCUGCUUCUUCAACAUGUCCGGUGGUUUCUACUCUCGUUGAAGGUGGUGCCACUUGCCUUGGCAAAACUGCUGUUGAUCAACUUGCCUUUAGGUUUGUCUCUCUCUUUCGAUUACCUAUAUAUCGAAUUUCAGAAAAGGACAUGUAGUUUGGGAUGGUUUACCUUUAGUUUCUGUUUUCUGCUUAUGUAAUGGGCAUGAUGAUCCUGAGGAAGGUGAAGCGUUUAGUGUAGUAUCUUUUGUUGUUGUUGUUGUUGUUGUUUUCUCUGUGUAUGAUUUAGGAAACAUGGCUACGCUUUUUAAGUUUGAAGAUCGUGUAGAAUUGUUUGA